CGCCACAACGGCUUCCUGACGUGGCGCUUUUUUCAUAUUGGAGCA
rnacentral:ncRNA from 1 species